rnacentral:rRNA from 1 species
UACGGAGGGUGCAAGCGUUAAUCGGAAUUACUGGGCGUAAAGCGCACGCAGGCGGUUGGAUAAGUUAGAUGUGAAAGCCCCGGGCUCAACCUGGGAAUUGCAUUUAAAACUGUCCAGCUAGAGUCUUGUAGAGGGGGGUAGAAUUGCCAGGUGUAGCGGUGAAAUGCGUAGAGAUCCGGAGGAACACCAGUGGCGAAGGCGACACGCUGGGCCGUACCUGACACUGAUGCGCGACAGCAUGGGGAGCAAACAGG